rnacentral:rRNA from 1 species
UACGGAGGGUGCAAGCGUUAAUCGGAAUUACUGGGCGUAAAGGGUGCGUAGGCGGAUAGCUAAGUCAGACGUGAAAUUCCGAGGCUCAACUUCGGAGCUGCAUCUGAAACUGGUUAUCUAGAGGGAUGGCGGAGAAAACGGAAUUCCACAUGUAGCGGUGAAAUGCGUAGAUAUGUGGAAGAACACCUGUGGCGUAGGCGGUUUUCUAGCUUAACCCUGACGCUGAGGCACGAAAGCAAGGGGAGCAAACAGG